rnacentral:rRNA from 1 species
AAAGUAUCUUCGGAUAUGAGUAGAGCGGCGGACGGGUGAGUAACGCGUAGGAAUCUACCUAGUAGAAGGGGAUAGCCCGAGGAAACUCGGAUUAAUACCGUAUACCUCCUUCGGGAGAAAGAAGGCCUCUCUUUGAAGCUUUCGCUACUAGAUGAGCCUGCGUAAGAUUAGCUUGUUGGUGAGGUAAAGGCUCACCAAGGCUACGAUCUUAGCGGGUCUGAGAGGACGAUCCGCCACAUUGGGACUGAGACACGGCCCAGACUCCUACGGGAGGCAGCAGUGGGGAAUAUUGGACAAUGGGCGAAAGCCUGAUCCAGCCAUACCGCGUGUGUGAAGAAGGCCCUAGGGUUGUAAAGCACUUUAAGUUGGGAAGAAAAGUUAUUGGUUAAUACCCAAUGACCGUGACAUUACCAUCAGAAUAAGGACCGGCUAAUUCCGUGCCAGCAGCCGCGGUAAUACGGAAGGUCCAAGCGUUAAUCAGAAUUACUGGGCGUAAAGCGCGCGUAGGUGGUUUAUUAAGUUGGGUGUGAAAUCCCCGGGCUCAACCUGGGAACUGCAUCCAAAACUGAUUCACUAGAGUACGAUAGAGGGAGGUAGAAUUCACAGUGUAGCGGUGGAAUGCGUAGAUAUUGUGAAGAAUACCAAUGGCGAAGGCAGCCUCCUGGAUCUGUACUGACACUGAGGUGCGAAAGCGUGGGUAGCGAACAGGAUUAGAUACCCUGGUAGUCCACGCCGUAAACGAUGUCAACUAUCUGUUGGAAAGCAUUGUUUUUCAGUGGAGCAGCUAACGUAAUAAGUUGACCGCUGGGGAGUACGGCCC